rnacentral:lncRNA from 10 species
GUUCCCUUGGACACAAGCUGCAUUACUAUUUAAGUGAUCCUUUUUCAGUACUAUUCUACUGGACACGAAGUGUGUUCAUUUCACUCUCAAUAUCCAGUUUCAAGGCUGAAGAACCGCACACUCAUGGACUGAUUGUUGUGGACCAAGAAGUAUAGGUAAGAAAAUACCUCGCUUUCUUUAUAGCUUUCUCAGACUACUGCUAUUAUUAUUCUACCUCUAAGGCCAGCCUCCCAGUAGUGUUCUCAUCUAUCAGAACUUUUUUAACCAAUUAACCUUUCUAUUUAGCAGGAAAAAAAUAUAUGAAACAUUUAAACAGAUACGACUUUAAAAGAUAUUGUAUAAAUUUAAUAUAGCUUAUUUGUCAUGAAGUCCAUAAAACACUCUUCAACCUUUAUAUGUUUAUAAUAUAAAAUCAAUGUGAAAGAACAAGUAUUUUAUUAGAAAGGUAACAAUAAAACCAAAUUAUAAAAAGAAGACACUAAAUAACUAUCUAGUACUAAGUAUUUGGCUAGGCUAAUUUCCUGCAGAAAAUGAAUAUCUACUAUGUGUACCUACCUCAACCCCAUCCACUCAGCAAUAUCUGUGAAUUGACUGGGAAGACAUAUUAAACUGCGCUGCAGAAUAUGUAAGAAGCAGAGUCAAAGUAUUAGUUUGUUCAGAGUUAAACAUACAUAUAAAAGGACAGGGUUCAUUUAGCAUUAACUGUGAAUCUCUGAGAGUAUCUAAUUUAUUGUUUUUAUUAAUAAAUAUCAUGUCCAGUAUGAGGGUUAGGGGCAAGAGAGAAGGAAUUUAAAUACUUAGAACAUUUUAGAGAACGUUCCAAGAGAAACCAAAUACCUCAGACUAUUUAGAGACAGAAGUAUUUUGCAGUGAAUGUGCUAUGAAAGAAUUUAUUAAAGUAAUUACCUUUACUAUUCACUGAUUUCCAUAGCAACGGCACAAAUUUUGAUUUCCUUGAAUUGAUAUUUAAGACUGUUUUGAGGAGUAAAUUAUUUCUCUGGUUUACUCAUUCCUUUAAUGCCCUCACCAACCUUCACCCACUAUAGUGGAAAAAAAAAUAGGACCACAAACUUGGUAAAGUUGGCUACAAAUAACUGAUUUUUCCUUAGUACUAUUCUAUGACCUGUGUUAAUUUGUUUUCAAACCAAAAAACAGUGUUCUAUGGAAGAUUUCAGAUAAUUUCUACAAACUCAAGUUCAUGGUUUUACAUAUAGAUAUGAUAUGUGAUAAGGUAAACACAGAAGUCAUAGAGGAAAUUCAAGUGAUUUCAGAUGCUCCUCAUAGGCAUGCUUCCCCCAGUCUCAUCAUGCACACUUGAAGCCACCCUUUUCCAGAUCAACUGCCUGUGAAAGAUUUUCAGAACUCUGAGCCAUUACUAAAUGGCCAUGGAAAGAAAUUAAGCAAAGAAAAAUUGGACAGACUUUCAGGAAAAGUUUCCUAAUUGUGAAAACUAUUAAAAUGUGGAAUAAAUAUCCUCUGAGGGAGAGGAUAGAUGCCCAUCUCUGAGGCUUUAAAAACAGGAUUUGACCAACACUUUGGGAAGAGAAAUGAGGGCAAUAUUCAUUACUUGGCAAGGAAGUGAGCUGGAUGACAUAAUGGUCUUUUCCCUCUUUCAUGCUAAUGCCUCUUUAAUGUUUCCAUUUAAGUAGUAACUUAGUUUCAAAAGCGGACAUUUUAAUGUGGGAAGAGUACUCAGGUUUCAAUGAAAACCUCACCAGAAAAAAUCAGGAAUGAAGGCCACCAUUGACCCUGUACGUGGAUUACUUUUGUAUUUGACCACGUAAGACAAUUGGAUGGGCACCUAAUAUAUUUCCUGGUACACUCCUAUUGUGGUUGGUCUUCUUUAUCUGUAUGUCUAUCUUGUUCAGUCUGCGCUUCAGCUUUGCAGGAAAAUAGAAAUUUUUUUUUCUGUGCUUGUUUAUGCUAACCAUGGUGCCUACAACUGCAUCUGCUGCCUUUACACGGGACUGCAAACCUGUUUUUUUCAACCUUCUGUUUUAUGGGUGUGCACACCCAUAAAUCUCCUGUGGCUGGGUUAAGGGAACAUACAAGCAGCUCUUCAGCAUUAAGAAUGUGAUGGGAGAGAUUCAGGUAGAUUUGAACUGCCAUCAUCAAUCAAGACCAAGGAGAAGGCUGCUUUCCAGGAUGUACACAUGGCCUCUGUUUGCUGUUGCUGUUUUGCUUCUUUUAAGAGCUCAACAGAACCCUGUAAUAUACAUGAACAAGUUUCUGGAAGUUAAGAGUUGAAAAAACAUAUGGGUUGAUUGAUCGUGGCACCCAAGAAGAAAUAUCUAGGUCAUAAUCCCUGGAACCUGUGAAUGUUACUUUAUUUGGAAAAAGUAUCUUUGCAGAUGUAAUUCAUCUAAGGAUCUUGAAAUGAGGAGAUCAUCCUGGAUUACCCAGGUGGGCCCUAAAACCAAUGACUAGUGUUCUUGUAAGAAAAAAGAAGACUGAAACUUAGACAAAACAGGAAAAGACACAGAAAAGAGAUGUGAAGAUAGAAGCAGAAUGGAGAACAGUGUGGCCAUAAGCCAAGGAAUGCCAACCCCCACCAGAAGGUGGAAAAGGCAAAAAAGGGAUUGUCUCUUGCAGCUUCCAGAAGGUGUGGAGUCCUAAUGACACCUUGAUUUUGGACUUUCGGCCUCCAGAACUUUGUGAGAAUAAAUUUUUGUUGUUUUAAGCAACACAUUUUGUGGUGACUUGUUACAGGAGCCACAGAAAACUAGUACACAGUAUGAGCUCAAUAAUAUGACUAUGUGUUCAUCAAAUCCAUGAGAUGACAAAUUCCUUGAGGCAAGGACCACUAAGAUUUUGUUGAUGGUUAUGUUUUACACAGCUAGCUUGAAUGAGGCAGAGUAUCUAGGCACAUGGCUGACCAGAAAAAAUACUGUUUCCCUGUCUCCUUUGAAGCUGGAUGUAGCCCAGGGGCUAUUUUGAGCCAAAAAGAUAAAAGCACAUAUAAAGUGGCAACUACAGGGAUACACAUUCCUAAAGAGGAGGGAGCAGUGUGAUGGAUGAACAGGAGACACCAACUUACUUAGGAAGUGUAUUUGAUUUGGUGCAAGAUGAGUGUAGAUUGAGAGUAGAGGCAAUGCCUAGAGUAACAGUAACAGAAAAGUGUUAUACAACACCUGAAUGCCUACAAAGACUUUCCUAUAAGAGGAGUUAUGCUACUGUUUUCUUCUUAUGUUACAGACAAGGUAGAGUUUUGCCACAACCAAACUUAAUUCUAACUAAUAUACAAGAUAACUGGGCCAGAUGUGUUAUGAGUUUGGUGAAUUUAUAUAAAUUUUUUGACAAGUAUUUUAUAUCAAGUUGCAUUCUUGGAGAAAAUGAGAAGAGGAAUUUACUAGCAAUAUUCAUGAAUUGAAAUAUUUUUGUACUCUGCCUUCCACUCACCUGCACAUCAAGAGAUAAGAAAUGAUCUAUUUAUAUAAAAUGAAUUGAAAUAUAUAUUUUAUUUAUAUUUCUCCACCUUCUGCAUAAAAUAUUUUUAUUGAAGGCUUUUAUGGUGUUCAUUACAAUGCCUAAAAGUCAAGGUAUCAACUCUAAUUUCUCAUUUAUUAUACUACAAUGUAGAUUUUUGUUGAAAAUAACUGUAAUGACAUCAAUGCAUAUCAUUUUGACCCUCGAGAAUUAAAUUUUUUGAUGUUAAUUAUUCAUAAACACACCUUGUCUGAGCUCAUUUGAAAAAUUAAAAAAUGAAAUCAUGUCUCAGCAAUGUACCCAGGGUACCUGCUACCUCUGUAAAACAUUCUGACUCUCUAAAAUUUAAUUAUUGCUUCCUUACUUAUAUCUACAUGCUACCCACUCAAAUAAUAUUUGUUGCAUUGAUUUCUCUCUUUCAAUUAAUCCCUGCAAACAGGUUUCUUCCAGAAAUAUUGGGUGAUUGUGCAUAUUGUUAACUGAAAUAAAUUCUGUAUCCUGCAUUUCACCUUGUUGCCAUUAUGAAAUGUCAACCAAUCACAUUACUGACAGAUGUUGUUUCAUUCUACAUUUCCAUAGAUCUAAUAAUAUCUUUCUUUUUAAUUGUCUCUUCUUGAGACAAUUGUGUCCAGGUGAAUGAUAGGGAUAAGACAACUAAUUGACACCUAUUAGUUUAUGUGGAAAGGCCUGGGGCAUAAGUAAUCAAGCAAAUUUUGCACUUUCUCUUUCAUUUUUCCCCUCACUUAAGACUCAUAAUUAUAUUCUAAUCCUCAAGAUUCAAAUCAGUGAAGAAUUUCUUGAUCUGGUCAAGCAAAAUUAAUCAUCCCUCUUUUUGUUUCAUGACUGAAUGUAACAGUAGCACUCUUUUUAUAAAUUCUACUUUUGUGUGAAAAAUUGAAGAAAAAGUUUUAAUACAUGGUAGUUUCUAAAACCUACUGACAUUCUUGAAAAACUCCAUUUAACAG